ACAGCAGUAGCCACGGUAAUACAGAGGGUGCAAGCGUUAAUCGGAUUUACUGGGCGUAAAGCGUGCGUAGGCGGCUUCUUAAGUCGGAUGUGAAAUCCCUGAGCUUAACUUAGGAAUUGCAUUCGAUACUGGGAAGCUAGAGUAUGGGAGAGGAUGGUAGAAUUCCAGGUGUAGCGGUGAAAUGCGUAGAGAUCUGGAGGAAUACCGAUGGCGAAGGCAGCCAUCUGGCCUAAUACUGACGCUGAGGUACGAAAGCAUGGGGAGCAAACAGGAUUAGAUACCCCUGUAGUCCCUGUCUCUUAUAC
rnacentral:rRNA from 1 species